rnacentral:tRNA from 1 species
AGGAUUAUAAUUUAAAUAAAAUACUUGAAUUGCACUCAAAAAUUACUUAAUAUAUAAGUUAAUCUUA